rnacentral:rRNA from 1 species
GUAACGUCAAGACUCACGGUUAUUAACCGUAGGCUUUUCUUCUCUACUGAAAGUGCCUUACAACCCGCAGGCCUUCUUCACACACGCGGCAUUGCUGGAUCAGGGUUGCCCCCAUUGUCCAAUAUUCCCC